CUGCUGGCGGCGGCGGCGGCGGAAGGUGGGAGCGGCGAUUCCGACAGGACGAGCUUUGGGGAGAUCAUAUGCCUUUCAAGGACUUGGAGACCAGAGGUGACAUGAUCUGUCCUGUGUAGAAGAUCUGACUGAAGUGGGACAAGAAGCAGAAGCAGGAGAUCAGUGCAGAUUUAUUGGUGUCAAUGCAACAAUUUAAAACAUAAAUGAUGAAAAAACAGUCACAAUGUGCUCUCCCCAUGCACUGAAGACCACUCCUAUGGGAGGCAGAAGGAAAAAAGUCAUGAAGGCUAUUUGCAAGUUCCAAGUUC